rnacentral:lncRNA from 1 species
CUUGGUAUGCCACCGUGCGACUUUCAGUUACGAAUGUAUUGAUCAUAUGUGAUUCUCAUUUUAUUAACGUGGACAAUGAUUGCAUGUUCCCACACUGAGUGUACCCUGUAUGCUCAUCCCAUAUUUAACAUUUUCAGGUUUUAAAGGCCGGAGGCGCGUGGAAGGUCGAAUGGCGAGUCAAAUAUUUUGAAUUUAGCAUUACUUAAAAAUGUUAUUUUGAGUAAAGUAUGUUUAAAUAAAAAUUUAUUUCCUGAUUUUCUCAUUAAAUAUUUAUUUAUAUUCAUAGUUUUUCCGCGUGCGUUUUCAUUUAAAAUUAAAAUGGAUUUGGGUG